ACUUUGGAGCAGGUGAUGAUCCUUGGACACCCACAGAACAUCACCUUCAUGAGCGCAUCAGUGAACACCAGGCUAAGGAAGACAUCUCUGAACGUAAUUUUGGAGAUUUUGAUGAGUUCCAUUGAAACAAGGAGGAAUGUGAUGUCCAGUAUCAGUUCUGCUGACCCAAGGACAAAGAAAAUUCUGUGAUAAACUCAUCCAGUGUGACUGUAAUUUUAUUUGCAUCUCAUUACUAUGUUCUCGGUUUCGGAUACAAGACACCGGACUUUCAAAUCAACAAUUGUUUCAAAAGACUCCUACUGGAUUCCUGCUAGUGGUGGGAGAAAAUUAUCAUUCUAUGAGUUGUCAAUAAAUGUUUAACCACAGUUCA